UGACCUCCGAUUACUGACAUGUUGACCCAAAAUACCGACAUGUUGACCGAAACUUACAUUGUGUCUCUCUUCUCUGUUAUUCAUACGUAGCUUGAUAAGCAUUAAUUAAAUCAUGCAACAAUCACAAAAACGUCAAAAAAUUUCGGAUGAAUUGAAUUUAGAAGAUUUGGCAGCUUCUAUCGAAUCACUUGCUGGUACGAUCAAAAAUAUUGGUCAGAUUCAUGGAUAUUUAUUAACAAUGAAUAAAGCAAUUGUCAAUUAUUACCAAGAAGUAAACAAACUUGAAACAACAAAUUCGAAAACUUCUGGAGAAAAUAUCGAAAUUGAUGGACAAUAAAAUAUUGAUAGAUAUAAUUAUGAAAUUAAAGAAAUAUACGUCUGGAUUUACUAUUUUAUUGUAUCUUAGAAUAAUAACAAAUAUUUCAUAUAUCACAAUAGAAAUAAAGUCUUUUUCGAUAUGAUAUAAAAAAUGUAUCACUCGAAUUAUACAUAAAUAGUAAAAUCAUUUUUAAACAAUCAAACUAAAUACAUAUGCUCUAGACAUAAAAAAUA